UAGUCCACGCCGUAAACGAUGUCUACUUGCUGUCUGUGUUCUAGUAACGUGGGUAGCGCAGCUAACGCGAUAAGUAGACCGCCUGGGGAGUACGGCCGCAAGGUUAAAACUCAAAUGAAUUGACGGGGGCCUGCACAAGUAGUGGAGCAUGUGGUUUAAUUCGAAGAUACGCGCAGAACCUUACCAACACUUGACAUGUUCGUCGCGACUUUAAGAGAUUAAAGUUUUCGGUUCGGCCGGACGAAACACAGGUGCUGCAUGGCUGUCGUCAGCUCGUGUCGUGAGAUGUUGGGUUAAGUCCCGCAACGAGCGCAACCCUCACUUUUAGUUGCCAUCAUUUAGUUGGGCACUCUGAAAGACUGCCAGUGAUAAGCUGGGAGAAGGUGGGGGAUGACGUCAAGUCCUCAUGGGCCCUUACGUGUUGGGGCUACACACGUGCUACAAUGGGUAUCUACAACAGGAAGCAAAACGGGCG
rnacentral:rRNA from 1 species